rnacentral:rRNA from 2 species
UGCUACAAUGGACAAUACAAAGGGCAGCGAAACCGCGAGGUCAAGCAAAUCCCAUAAAGUUGUUCUCAGUUCGGAUUGUAGUCUGCAACUCGACUACAUGAAGCUGGAAUCGCUAGUAAUCGUAGAUCAGCAUGCUACGGUGAAUACGUUCCCGGGUCUUGUACACACCGCCCGUCACACCACGAGAGUUUGUAACACCCGAAGCCGGUGGAGUAACCUUUUAGGAGCUAGCCGUCGAAGGUGGGACAAAUGAUUGGGGUGAAGUCGUAACAAGGUAGCCGUAUCGGAAGGUGCGGCUGGAUCACCUCCUUUCUAAGGA